rnacentral:rRNA from 1 species
UACGAAGGGGGCUAGCGUUGCUCGGAAUGACUGGGCGUAAAGGGCGCGUAGGCGGUUUGGUUCGUUAGGCGUGAAAUUCCUGGGCUCAACCUGGGGACUGCGUUUAAUACAGCCAGACUUGAGUGUGGAAGAGGGUCGUGGAAUUCCCAGUGUAGAGGUGAAAUUCGUAGAUAUUGGGAAGAACACCGGUGGCGAAGGCGGCGACCUGGUCCAUUACUGACGCUGAGGAGCGAAAGCGUGGGGAGCGAACAGG